AUGAACGCUGGCGGCGUGCCUAAUCCCUGCAAGUCGAGCGAACAGACGAGGAGCUUGCUCCUCUGACGUUAGCGGCGGACGGGUGAGUAACACGUGGAUAACCUACCUAUAAGACUGGGAUAACUUCGGGAAACCGGAGCUAAUACCGGAUAAUAUAUUGAACCGCAUGGUUCAAUAGUGAAAGACGGUUUUGCUGUCACUUAUAGAUGGAUCCGCGCCGCAUUAGCUAGUUGGUAAGGUAACGGCUUACCAAGGCAACGAUGCGUAGCCGACCUGAGAGGGUGAUCGGCCACACUGGAACUGAGACACGGUCCAGACUCCUACGGGAGGCAGCAGUAGGGAAUCUUCCGCAAUGGGCGAAAGCCUGACGGAGCAACGCCGCGUGGGUGAUGAAGGUCUUCGGAUCGUAAAACUCUGUUAUUAGGGAAGAACAAAUGUGUAAGUAACUAUGCACGUCUUGACGGUACCUAAUCAGAAAGCCACGGCUAACUACGUG
rnacentral:rRNA from 1 species